AGUGAACGCUGGCGGUAGGCCUAACACAUGCAAGUCGAACGGCAGCACAGUAAGAGCUUGCUCUUACGGGUGGCGAGUGGCGGACGGGUGAGGAAUACAUCGGAAUCUACUUUUUCGUGGGGGAUAACGUAGGGAAACUUACGCUAAUACCGCAUACUACCUACGGGUGAAAGCAGGGGAUCUUCGGACCUUGCGCGAUUGAAUGAGCCGAUGUCGGAUUAGCUAGUUGGCGGGGUAAAGGCCCACCAAGGCGACGAUCCGUAGCUGGUCUGAGAGGAUGAUCAGCCACACUGGAACUGAGACACGGUCCAGACUCCUACGGGAGGCAGCAGUGGGGAAUAUUGGACAAUGGGCGCAAGCCUGAUCCAGCCAUACCGCGUGGGUGAAGAAGGCCUUCGGGUUGCAAAGCCCUUUUGUUGGGAAAGAAAAGCAGCAGGUUAAUACCCCGCUGUUCUGACGGUACCCAAAGAAUAAGCACCGGCUAACUUCGUG
rnacentral:rRNA from 1 species